rnacentral:lncRNA from 1 species
AUUCCUCUGGGGCAAACCAGGCCGGACACCAGACCAGCCUCUUCCUCCAGACAGCGGCCGCUGGCAGGGACGGCGAGAAAGGGCAAGGGUCCCCUGGGGAGGUGUCCACUGAGGCACCCCCCACCCUUCUCCCCGAGACUGCCCCCGGAUCCAUCCAACCCGAAACCAACUCCCGCAUCCCUACUCGAGGAAGCCCCGGAGUCCCGCCGCUUGGUGAGGGUGUGUGUCCACCCGACUGCGGCCCUCAGAACCCCCAAAUGGAGGCCAGGGCUGAAGAGCUGGUACCCCAAGAGGCCCACUAAAGUUAACAGAUGGAGGAGCAAGAGCAUAAUGAAGACAGACACACCAUCCCACUCCCACUCUGGCCGCCACAAGAUGGAAAACGGAAGCAGUAAGUGAAGAUGGCAACACUGCCCACGACCACAGCCGCACGUAAAAAUAACUGCUGGAGCACAGCGCCCAGGACGAGGUAUGGGAAAUGAGCACGUGGCUCUGAGAGCCUGCCUGGUAUUCCUGCUCAUCUCCAGACCUUCAGCAGAGACCAGCCAGGCACACAGACGAGCCUAUGGCGACGGCAGCUGUCCCUGCCAUCCCAACAUCAGUGGUUUAUCAUCUAGCUCCUUUUCAGUAGUCAGGUAAGAAUAAACAUCUGGCAAUCG